GAUUAUGGCUCAGGAUGAACGCUAGCUACAGGCUUAACACAUGCAAGUCGAGGGGCAGCGGGAUUGAAGCUUGCUUCAAUUGCCGGCGACCGGCGCACGGGUGAGUAACGCGUAUCCAACCUUCCGUACACUCAGGGAUAGCCUUUCGAAAGAAAGAUUAAUACCUGAUGGUAUCUUAAGCACACAUGUAAUUAAGAUUAAAGAUUUAUCGGUGUACGAUGGGGGUGCGUUCCAUUAGGUAGUAGGG
rnacentral:rRNA from 1 species